rnacentral:rRNA from 1 species
GACGAACGCUGGCGGCGUGCGUAAUACAUGCAAGUCGAACGUGAAGGGCUUUCCUUUUUUGUGUGGUAGAGGGGCGAACGGGUGAGUAGCCCGUGCGUAACCUGCCCUCGAGUCUGGGAUAACUUUUGGAAACUAGGGCUAAUACCGGAUAGGAGCUGCUGCUGCAUGGUUGCUGUUGCAAUGUUUCGUCGGUUCCGGAUGGACUCGCAGCCUUUCAGCCUGUUGGGGGGGUAGUGGCCUACCAAGGCCUUGACGGGUAGCCGGCCUGAGAGGGCGACCGGCCACAUUGGGACUGAGAUACGGCCCAGACUCCUACGGGAGGCCGCAGUGGGGAAUAGUGCACAAUGGGCGGAAGCCUGAUGCAGCAACGCCGCGUGCGGGAUGACGGCCUUCGGGUUGUAAACCGCUUUCGCCUGUGACGAAGCGUGAGUGACGGUAAUGGGUAAAGAAGCACCGGCUAACUACGUG